UGCAACCUGUCGGCAGGUUCGUGUGUGCUUCGACGGCGAUGUUGUCUGCAUUUUUAGGGCGUUUUGAUUAGCUGAUUGAGUACGUUUGUUCUCCCCCCCCCCAUGUUUUACAUCUGCUCUGCUUGAGGAGGUGGGGGAGUUUUGUGCCUGGGCCUCUGGUUGGGAAUGGCGGUGUGCUGUCGGAGCCGGCCGUGCCGCAGCAGCAUGGGCGGCGGCGAGCGGAGAAGCACAGAUCUGAUCGGCGAAGGAGGACGCAGCGGCCAGGAGGGGGAGCUCUCCUACAACAUCUAAGCUGACGACGGGGAAGAUGAAUCCCCAGGCUCCCGGAUGGAAUAAGAGGUUAGUGAAAAAUCUCUGUUAUAUCUUCAGAGAUGCAAAAAGAUUGAGUAAUGAAAAAUUUAGAGUGCAAAAUGUUGUUUAUGUGUUCAGAGAUUUAGUAGUGAAAAUUUGAGCAGUGGAAAAUCUGCCUUACGUCUUCAGAGAUGCUAAAGACUUAGUAAUCAAAAAUUGACAGCCGCUAUAGGAAUCAGGGAACUACAUUAGUACUGAAAAAUUGAGAGUGCAAAAUGUUCCUUAUGCGUUCAGAGGUUCAACUAUUAAGCAGUGAAAAAAUUAUCAGUGGAAAAUCUAUCUUACGUCUUUAGAGAUGCUAAAGAUUUAGUAAUAAAAAACUGACAGCCGCUAUAGGAAUCAGGGAACUACAUUAGUACUGAAAAAUUGAGGACUACAAACUGCAAAGUGUUCAUUAUGUGUUCAGAGAUUCAAACUAUUUAGUAAUGAAAAAUUAUCUGUUGAAAAUCUUCCUUGCGUCUUCAGAGAGGCAAAAGAUUUAGUAAUGAAAAAUUGACAGCACUAUAGGAAUCAGGGGGCUGCAUCAAUCUGAGUUCAGAACAGUUAGUAAAACGCAUUCAGAUAAAUCAUGUUGCAAGUGUUUGGUGUAGUGCAGGUUGAGGAUUGGUGCUGCUGCACCAAGCAGAGCACCUGGCCCUAGUAUACUGAAGAGGCAUGCCAGCAAAAUAUAGACGAGGGCUAUAUUUGGGGACGAAACAGUGCAAUUGGAUGAUAAUGAGAUAAUUUGAAGCUCUAGUAUACUGAAGCUUCGUAGCAAAACUUAAUUAUAAUGAUUCUUUGCAAUUUAGUAACAGUUAAUCUUCAGGUCUCGUUAUGAAUAUGAAGCAUAAAGUCUGUACUAGUACACUUUCCACCAGAAUUCAGAUACCCGAAUCCAUAAGAGCUUCUAAGUUUUUAUUUCAUCCUCUUUGUCUGAAGUUAUUUAUUUUGGUUCAUGUUUGGAUUCCAGGAUCUCAAGCAAUUAUGAAGGGUCGCCGCAGGCAUCGGAGCAAUCGAUUGAGCAGAUUGACCCUAAAAUACCCGAAUGGACAUGAAGGUACGACAGUUUUAUGCAUUGGAAUCCAUGCUCCUGGUGAUGUGCGUAUGGUGCGAAUUGAAAUGAAUGGUAGGAAAAUUUAGCUCUGAAUUAGUUAGCAACAGAGUUGUUAACGGAUGCAGUAUGUGAAUCGGAGGUUAGUUGCCCACAAACCUAGUUAGCAACGGUGUUGUGUGGAAUGAAUUGUGGAGUAGGUUGUUCUGAAUUUAAGUGAAUGUAAAAUCAGCAAACUCUGAAUUAUGGAGUAAGUGCUUCCUAUCUGUAGGGGAACUGCAUUUGGAAGGGGGUCAUUACUGAUGCGAUGAGAACAUCGUAUGAUAGCUCUUAUCCUGGAUAGAGCCAACAUCAUAUAAAUAUGCUGCCUUUAGCAGUGCACUGCAUUUUGAGGUCAGAAUGGUUGCUAGUCCAUAGGGUGAUUUCGGGUCAGAUGUUCUGUAAGUGUGAGAACCAUAGUGAAAUAAACAACAAAGUUGUAGGAUGUGUGACAAUGAAAAAAUGGCUAAUUUGGUGGAUGAUUUGCAGUGUGCAUGUGUGGUGUCGUUAAAUGACAGAAUUUGUACGACACCAUCACUAACUAAUUGUGUGCGAGAUAAAAGGUGAUAGCGUUAAAAGAUAUGAACUAAUGUCUCUUCGAACAUGGACAGUGAGUAAUUACAGUAGAUAUGAGCUGCAGGAUUGUGUCAUAGGUUGCAAAAUAU
rnacentral:lncRNA from 1 species